UACGAAGGGGGCUAGCGUUGUUCGGAUUUACUGGGCGUAAAGCGCACGUAGGCGGAUCUUUAAGUCAGAGGUGAAAUCCCAAGGCUCAACCUUGGAACUGCCUUUGAUACUGGGGAUCUUGAGUCCGGGAGAGGUGAGUGGAACUGCGAGUGUAGAGGUGAAAAUUCGUAGAUAUUCGCAAGAACACCAGUGGCGAAGGCGGCUCACUGGCCCGGUACUGACGCUGAGGCACGAAAGCGUGGGGAGCAAACAGG
rnacentral:rRNA from 1 species